GACGAACGCUGGCGGCGUGCUUAACACACGCAAGUCGAACGGAAAGGCCCUGCUUUUGUGGGGUGCUCGAGUGGCGAACGGGUGAGUAACACGUGAGUAACCUGCCCUUGACUUUGGGAUAACUUCAGGAAACUGGGGCUAAUACCGGAUAGGAGCUCCUGCUGCAUGGUGGGGGUUGGAAAGUUUCGGCGGCUGGGGAUGGACUCGCGGCUUAUCAGCUUGUUGGUGGGGUAGUGGCUUACCAAGGCUUUGACGGGUAGCCGGCCUGAGAGGGUGACCGGCCACAUUGGGACUGAGAUACGGCCCAGACUCCUACGGGAGGCAGCAGUGGGGAAUAUUGCACAAUGGGCGGAAGCCUGAUGCAGCAACGCCGCGUGCGGGAUGACGGCCUUCGGGUUGUAAACCGCUUUCGCCUGUGACGAAGCGUGAGUGACGGUAAUGGGUAAAGAAGCACCGGCUAACUACGUG
rnacentral:rRNA from 1 species